rnacentral:rRNA from 1 species
GACGAACGCUGGCGGCGUGCUUAACACAUGCAAGUCGAACGGAAAGGCCCUGCUUUUGUGGGGUGCUCGAGUGGCGAACGGGUGAGUAACACGUGAGUAACCUGCCCUUGACUUUGGCAUAACUUCAGGAAACUGGGGCUAAUACCGGAUAGGAGCUCCUGCUGCAUGGUGGGGGUUGGAAAGUUUCGGCGGUUGGGGAUGGACUCGCGGCUUAUCAGCUUGUUGGUGGGGUAGUGGCUUACCAAGGCUUUGACGGGUAGCCGGCCUGAGAGGGUGACCGGCCACAUUGGGACUAAGGUACGGCCCAGACUCCUACGGGAGGCAGCAGUGGGGAAUAGUGCACAAGGGGCGGAAGCCUGAUGCAGCAACGCCGCGAGCGGGAUGACGGCCUUCGGGGUGUAAACCGAUUUGGCCUGGGAUGAAGCGGGAGGGACGGUAAUGGGUAAAGAAGCACCGGCUAACUAAGUG